UCCCUGGAGGACUGGUGGUUAGGCCACGGCGCUCUCACCACUGCGCCCCGGGUUCAAUUCCCAGCCAGAGAA
rnacentral:tRNA from 1 species